rnacentral:pre_miRNA from 1 species
UAUGUAUUCCCUUCGUUCGGAAUUACUUGUCGUAGAAAUGAAUGUAUCUAAACAUAUUUUAGUUUUAGAUACAUCCAUAUUCGAGACAAGUAAUUUCAAACGGAGGGAGUACUAA